rnacentral:tRNA from 1 species
GAGAGAGAAAUAAGAACUGCUAAUCCUUAAUCUCAUGUCUAACCACAUGACUCUACUUU